UACGUAGGGUGCAAGCGUUGUCCGGAAUUAUUGGGCGUAAAGAGCUCGUAGGCGGCUUGUCGCGUCGUCCGUGAAAACUUGGGGCUCAACCCCAAGCUUGCGGUCGAUACGGGCAGGCUCGAGUUCGGUAGGGGAGACUGGAAUUCCUGGUGUAGCGGUGAAAUGCGCAGAUAUCAGGAGGAACACCGGUGGCGAAGGCGGGUCUCUGGGCCGAUACUGACGCUGAGGAGCGAAAGGCGUGGGGAGCGAACAGG
rnacentral:rRNA from 1 species